GACGAACGCUGGCGGCGUGCUUAACACAUGCAAGUCGAACGGAAAGGCCUGCUUUCCCUUGUGGAUUGCGGGUACUCGAGUGGCGAACGGGUGAGUAACACGUGAGUGAUCUGCCCCCAACUUGGGUAUAAGCCUGGGAAACUGGGUCUAAUUCCCGAUAGGACUGCAGGGUGGUGCCUGUGGUGGAAAACGAUUUUCUAGUGGUUGGGGAUGAGUUCGCGGCCUAUCAGCGUGUUGGUGGGGUAAUGGCCUACCAAGGCGGCGACGGGUAGCCGGCCUGAGAGGGUGCACGGCGGCAUUGGGACUGAGAUACGGCCCAGACUCCUACGGGAGGCAGCAGUGGGGAAUAUUGCACCAUGGGCGGAAGCCUGAUGCAGCGACGCCGCGUGGGGGAUGACGGCCUUCGGGUUGUAAACUCCUUUCGACCGCGAGGAAGCCACCUGGUUGGAAGGGUGGUGACGGUAGUGGUAGAAGAAGCACCGGCUAACUACGUG
rnacentral:rRNA from 1 species